rnacentral:rRNA from 1 species
ACCUCUUAGCAGGGGAUAACAUUUGGAAACAAAUGCUAAUACCGUACAAUAAUUAAAACCGCAUGGUUUUAGUUUAAAAGAUGGUCUUGCUAUCACUAAGAGAUGGUCCCGCGGUGUAUUAGUUAGUUGGUGAGGUAAUGGCUCACCAAGACAAUGAUACAUAGCCGAGUUGAGAGACUGACCGGCCACAAUGGGACUGAGACACGGCCCAUACUCCUACGGGAGGCAGCAGUAGGGAAUCUUCCACAAUGGACGAAAGUCUGAUGGAGCAACGCCGCGUGUGUGAUGAAGGGUUUCGGCUCGUAAAACACUGUUGUAAGAGAAGAAUGACAUUGAGAGUAACUGUUCAAUGUGUGACGGUAUCUUACCAGAAAGGAACGGCUAAAUACGUGCCAGCAGCCGCGGUAAUACGUAUGUUCCAAGCGUUAUCCGGAUUUAUUGGGCGUAAAGCGAGCGCAGACGGUUAUUUAAGUCUGAAGUGAAAGCCCUCGGCUCAACCGAGGAAUUGCUUUGGAAACUGGAUAACUUGAGUGCAGUAGAGGAAAGUGGAACUCCAUGUGUAGCGGUGAAAUGCGUAGAUAUAUGGAAGAACACCAGUGGCGAAGGCGGCUUUCUGGACUGUAACUGACGUUGAGGCUCGAAAGUGUGGGUAGCAAACAGGAUUAGAUACCCUGGUAGUCCACACUGUAAACGAUGAGUGCUAGUUGUUCGAGGGUUUCCGCCCUUGAGUGACGAAGCUAACGCAUUAAGCACUCCGCCUGGGGAGUACGACCGCAAGGUUGAAACUCAAAGGAAUUGACGGGGACCCGCACAAGCGG